rnacentral:rRNA from 1 species
UAGCGGAGGGUGCGAGCGUUGUCCGGAAUCAUUGGGCGUAAAGGGCGCGUAGGUGGCUUCUUAAGCGUGCGGUGAAAGCCUGGGGCUCAACCCCGGGUCCGGCCGUGCGAACUGGGGGGCUGGAGCACUGUAGAGCAGGCGGAAUUCCGGGUGUAGCGGUGGAAUGCGUAGAGAUCCGGAAGAACACCGGUGGCGAAGGCGGCCUGCUGGGCAGUUGCUGACACUGAGGCGCGACAGCGGUGGGGAGCAAACAGG